rnacentral:rRNA from 1 species
UGCCAGCCGCCGCGGUAAUACGAAGGGACCUAGCGUAGUUCGGAAUUACUGGGCUUAAAGAGUUCGUAGGUGGUUGAAAAAGUUAGUGGUGAAAUCCCAGAGCUUAACUCUGGAACUGCCAUUAAAACCUUUCAGCUAGAGUAUGAUAGAGGAAAGCAGAAUUUCUAGUGUAGAGGUGAAAUUCGUAGAUAUUAGAAAGAAUACCAAUUGCGAAGGCAGCUUUCUGGAUCAUUACUGACACUGAGGAACGAAAGCUAGGGGAGCAAACAGGAUUAGAUA